rnacentral:rRNA from 1 species
CCUCGGGUGGCAGCAGUGGGGAAUCUUCCGCAAUGGACGAAAGUCUGACGGAGCAACGCCGCGUGAGUGAUGACGGCCUUCGGGUUGUAAAGCUCUGUUAAUCGGGACGAAAGGCCUUCUUGCGAAUAGUGAGAAGGAUUGACGGUACCGGAAUAGAAAGCCACGGCUAACUACGUGCCAGCAGCCGCGGUAAUACGUAGGUGGCAAGCGUUGUCCGGAAUUAUUGGGCGUAAAGCGCGCGCAGGCGGAUAGGUCAGUCUGUCUUAAAAGUUCGGGGCUUAACCCCGUGAUGGGAUGGAAACUGCCAAUCUAGAGUAUCGGAGAGGAAAGUGGAAUUCCUAGUGUAGCGGUGAAAUGCGUAGAUAUUAGGAAGAACACCAGUGGCGAAGGCGACUUUCUGGACGAAAACUGACGCUGAGGCGCGAAAGCCAGGGGAGCGAACGGGAUUAGAUACCCCAGUAGUC